rnacentral:rRNA from 1 species
GACAGAGGGGGCAAGCGUUGCUCGGAAUUACUGGGCGUAAAGGGCGCGUAGGCGGGAUGGCAAGUCGGUCGUGAAAUCCCUCGGCUCAACUGAGGAUCGUCGAUCGAUACUGCCGUUCUUGAGGAUUGCAGAGGAGACUGGAAUUCCCGGUGUAGCGGUGAAAUGUGUAGAGAUCGGGAGGAACACCAGUGGCGAAGGCGGUUGCCUGGAGCUUUGCUGACGCUGAGGCGCGAAAGCGUGGGGAGCGAUCCGG